CCCUUAGAUGUUCUGGGCCGCACGCGCGCUACACUGAUACAUUCAACGAGUCUAAAACCUGCUCUGAUAGGGGUGGGUAAUCUUUUGAAUGUGCAUCGUGAUUGGGAUAGAUGAUUGCAAUUUUUCAUCUUCAACGAGGAAUGCCUAGUAAACGCAAGUCAUCAGCUUGCAUUGAUUACGUCCCUGCCCUUUGUACACACCGCCCGUCGCUCCUACCGAUUGAAUGAUCCGAUGAAUAUCAUGGAUUGAGGAUUAUAGCAGGUUCGCCUGUCUUGAUCUUCGAGAAGUGAAGUAAAUCUUAUCAUUUAGAGGAAGGAGAAGUCGUAACA
rnacentral:rRNA from 1 species